CAAUAGCGUAUAUUAACGUUGUUGCAGUUAAAAAGCUCGUAGUUGGAUUUCUGGAGGGAGCGUCGGCCCGUAUUUACGAGUGCGUGACGUCUCUGUCCAUCCUUGCGGGAAGGCACGGCAUUGAUUUGUUGUGUCGGAUCGCAUCAUUUACUGUGAAAAAAUUAGAGUGUUCAAAGCAGGCUUUCGCUUGAAUACAUUAGCAUGGAAUAAUAAGAUAGGACCUUGGUGCUAUUUUGUUGGUUGAGCCUAAAGUAAUGAUUAAUAGGGAUAGUUGGGGGCACCUGUAUUGCGUUGUCAGAGGUGAAAUUCUUGGAUUUACGCAAGACAAACAGCUGCGAAAGCGUCUGCCAAGGAUGUUUUCAUUA
rnacentral:rRNA from 1 species